rnacentral:rRNA from 1 species
AUUGAACGCUGGCGGCAUGCCUUACACAUGCAAGUCGAACGGCAGCACGGGUGCUUGCACCUGGUGGCGAGUGGCGAACGGGUGAGUAAUACAUCGGAACAUGUCCUGUAGUGGGGGAUAGCCCGGCGAAAGCCGGAUUAAUACCGCAUACGAUCCACGGAUGAAAGCGGGGGCCCUUCGGGCCUCGCGCUAUAGGGUUGGCCGAUGGCUGAUUAGCUAGUCGGUGGGGUAAAGGCCUACCAAGGCGACGAUCAGUAGCUGGUCUGAGAGGACGACCAGCCACACUGGGACUGAGACACGGCCCAGACUCCUACGGGAGGCAGCAGUGGGGAAUUUUGGACAAUGGGCGAAAGCCUGAUCCAGCAAUGCCGCGUGUGUGAAGAAGGCCUUCGGGUUGUAAAGCACUUUUGUCCGGAAAGAAAUCCUUGGCUCUAAUACAGUCGGGGGAUGACGGUACCGGAAGAAUAAGCACCGGCUAACUACGUG